rnacentral:rRNA from 1 species
CGGACCAAGGAGUCUAGCAUGUGCGCGAGUCAUUGGGACUAUACGAAACCCACAGGCGAAAUGAAAGUGAAGGUGUGCCUUGUGCAUGCCGAGGGCUGAUGGGUGGCGCUUAACGGCGCGUGCCCCGCAAGCCCGGGGCGUCCCGUACUCAUUGCGAGUUGGGGCGCACCUAGAGCGUACACGCUGGGACCCGAAAGAUGGUGAACUAUGCCUGGUCAGGACGAAGUCAGGGGAAACCCUGAUGGAGGUCCGUAGCGAUUCUGACGUGCAAAUCGAUCGCAAGAACUGGGUAUAGGGGCGAUAGACUAAUCGAACCAUCUAGUAGCUGGUUCCCUCCGAAGUUUCCCUCAGGAUAGCUGGCGCCCGGUUGAUGAGUUUCAUCCGGUAAAGCGAAUGAUUAGAGGCAUUGGGGUCGAAACGACCUCAACCUAUUCUCAAACUAUAAAUGGGUGAGAGCUACGGCCUGCUUAACACGUGAGGCUGUAGAAUACGAAUCGAUGGGUGCCAAGUGGGCCAUUUUUGGUAAGCAGAACUGGCGCUGUGGGAUGAACCAAACGUUUAGGUUAAAGCGCCUAAAUUGACGCUUAUGGGACACCAUGAAAGGCGUUGGUAACUUA